AAAAACUAAGGUAAAAUACAGAGAAAAUACUGAUAGAAAUCAAAAUCAGUUUUUGGCAAAAGAAGCCAAGAACACAAUGAAAAAUCAAAGAGAAAACAUUAAGGGAAUAUCCUUAAAAUAAGAAAAAAAUAGGAAAAAGCCACUCUUCAAAAACAUAAGUGACCCCUAAACAUAAAAAGAACUUCACUGAUAUUAAGAAAAUGCAAAUUAAAACAAUAAAGUGCUAUCAAAAAUAAAUGGUGCUUAUGGCAGUGAUGUAAGGGAAAAAUAGUUUCAUGCACUGAAAGUGGGGUGGAUGAUAAAAUGGCUCAAUCUUUCUAAAAGGCAGUCUGGAAACAUGCACCAAAGGUUAAAAUGCGAGCAUUCUGUUUCACCCAGCAACUCUGCUUCUGGGGAUUUACCACGGGAAUGUUCAGAGGUGUGGGCAAAGCUGUGUGGAUGAGGGUGUUCACUGCAGCAUUGCUCAGAAAAUGGAAAAGCCCUUGGCUCCCGUGGUUUCCAUGCACAUCACAAUGAUUUACAGCCAUUAAAACUCUUACAGAAUACAGUGUUGACAGAAAAACAGGACACAUGACCCCAUAUUUGUUAUCUAUCUUCUCUGAUAACUACUAGUAGGAUGUACACUAGAAUGUCAUUAGCCCAUUAAUUAAUUCCCAGGUUUUCAAUUCUGUGAAUAUUUCAAUGAAAUUAACACAAGUGCAUUAAAAUCGGUCAGAAAUCAUAAUCUAGAGAUUAUGUGUAUAUAUAUAUUGAAAUUAUAAUCAUGUCCACAUAUAUUCCUACUAUAUACCACUAUAUACAUGUAUUAUAUUCCUACUGCUAGACUUUUUUUGGUGGGGGGAUACUAGGGAUUGAACUCAGGGGCACUUGACCGCUGAGCCACAUCCCCAACCCUAUUUUGUAUUUUAUUUAGAAACAGGGCCUCACUGAGUUGUUUAGCACCUCGCUUUGAACUUGAGGUCCUCCUGCCUCAGCUUCCCGAGCUGCUGGGAUUACAUACAGGCAUGCGCCAUGGUGCCCAGCCUGUUAUGUUCUUUUGUAACUAUAUAAUUACAUAUUGUAUACUAAGGUUUUUAUAGGUGUUCCACAUCUAGGACCAUGGGACAAAAUGGGUUCAUGUUUUGGUUAUGCUAGAGGUACAUAUUUUUGUUGUUUCUUACAGCUCUUGGAACAGGGUCUGCUAUAUAAAUGGUGCCCAGUAUACGUUUUUUUAACAAAUCUAGUAUUUUCUGCAAUGAGCAAGCUUGACAUCAAUAGUUAAGAAUUUUACUCAAUGAACUAUCUUUUAUAAAAGACUUAAAUUUCCUGCAAAUCUAUCAGUCCAUUCCAUCCUACCUGCU
rnacentral:lncRNA from 1 species